GGUGUUGUAGAUGGCUCCACCUUGACCUUGGUACGGACGACAUUGGAUCAGGCCCAGCAGGAAGCCAACGACAAAGCCUUGAUCCAGGCAGCAACAGAAGGG
rnacentral:snRNA from 15 species